AUGAAAAUUGUACCUUACAGAAAAGGAUUUGGUUGCAAGAAAAAUGACAAGGAUAACUGGGGUAUUGCAGGGGCCAUGAACGAGGUGGCGACCCUGAAAGAGGCAGUGGCCGCGGCCGAACGCAAUGCGGCUGCGGAGCGCACCGAGCGAGAGAAACAGGAGGCGCUGGUGGCAGAGGUACAACAAGAGCUCCAGGAUCUCGUGAAGAAACACGAGAGCCUGGAGCGUGACUCGAAGACUCGAGAGUCUGAGCUUGCAACGGCUCUUGAGAGUGCUAAAGCCGCUAAGGCCGAAGCCUACAAGGCCCUCUAG
rnacentral:rRNA from 1 species